rnacentral:rRNA from 1 species
UACGUAGGGGGCUAGCGUUGUCCGGAUUUAUUGGGCGUAAAGAGCUCGUAGGCGGUGUGUCACGUCGGCCGUGAAAACCUGGGGCUUAACUCUGGGCGUGCGGUCGAUACGGGCAUCACUAGAGUUCGGCAGGGGAGACUGGAAUUCCUGGUGUAGCGGUGAAAUGCGCAGAUAUCAGGAGGAACACCGGUGGCGAAGGCGGGUCUCUGGGCCGAUACGGACGCUGAGGAGCGAAAGCGUGGGGAGCAAACAGG